UUACACCUCUUUUUGGUAAAACGACGCAUCUGUCAAAACAAAUAAUAUCGCACACACAGCAGAUAGGAUCGCAGCAAACCGUCGUAUGGAAGAAAAUAAAUAGUAAAAAAGUGCCUGGCAGAUACGUCGUGUUUACUUACAUUGAAUAUUGCGCGUACAAAUAGUUUAAUUACACCUAAAACGUGAUAAAAUGGAUUUCGAUGGAUUCCAGCUGCUGCUCGACGCAGCAACAGAGCUUGAAUUAUCACAUCAACAAGAGGCACAGCAAAUUCCAACGAUUGUGACGCAAACGAAUGCAGACCCUGCUCUUGACGCGGCUCCCAAUCAGCACGGCUCACCGCUUCAAGUUUUCUCGCAAAAUGUAUCGGGAAAUGUUGCAGAAAUUGU